UACGUAGGGUGCGAGCGUUAAUCGGAAUUACUGGGCGUAAAGUGUGCGCAGGCGGCCAUGCAAGUCGAGUGUGAAAGCCCCGGGCUCAACCUGGGAACCGCGCUUGAGACUGGCGGACUCGAGUUCGGGAGAGGAUGGUGGAAUUCCCAGUGUAGAGGUGAAAUUCGUAGAUAUUGGGAAGAACACCGAUGGCGAAGGCAGCCAUCUGGACCGACACUGACGCUGAGGCGCGAAAGCGUGGGGAGCAAACAGG
rnacentral:rRNA from 1 species